rnacentral:misc_RNA from 1 species
GUUUAUUUUAGGGGAAUCCUGUAGGCUGUCUCUUAUUAUUCACACAUGCUAAAUUGGAUGUUAAGCAGCAUAUUCAACCACUAAGCAAUUUUUGUUGGUGAUAUCUCAAUCAAAUAUAGGUGACUAGUUAUUGUUAAGUUUAACUGAUGCUGUUACGUAUAAUUCAAUAUUUAGAAAAGUUGAUCUUGUGCCUGGUGUAUUCAAAAGUUUGCUAGCAUGUUGGACAUGUUUGGCAUGACUCAUCACAAAGACAAUGACAUAUACCUUUUUGAGAAAAUCUUAAAAUUUAUACUAGAGAUGAGAUUUGCAAUUUUAUUUUAGAUUGAAAGUAAUUCUUGGAUGUCAUUAAUUUUAU